rnacentral:rRNA from 1 species
UACGAGGGGGGCGAGCGUUGUUCGGAAUUAUUGGGCGUAAAGGGUGCGUAGGCGGUGCGGUAAGUCUGUAGUGAAAUCUCUGGGCUCAACUCAGAGUCUGCUAUAGAAACUGCCGUGCUUGAGUGUGGGAGAGGUGAGUGGAAUUCCCGGUGUAGCGGUGAAAUGCGCAGAUAUCGGGAGGAACACCGGUGGCGAAGGCGGUUCUCUGGGCCUGUACUGACGCUGAGGAGCGAAAGCGUGGGGAGCGAACAGG